rnacentral:rRNA from 1 species
UACGAAGGGGGCUAGCGUUGCUCGGAAUGACUGGGCGUAAAGGGCGUGUAGGCGGACCGGCGCGUCCCGUGUGAAAGCCCCCUGGCUCAACUGGGGGAGGUCAUGGGAAACGGUCGGACUGGAGCCCGGUAGGGGGCCAUGGAAUUCCCGGUGCAGUGGUGGAAUGCGUAGAGAUCGGGAGGAACACCUGUGGCGAAGGCGGUGGCCUGGACCGGUGCUGACGCUGAGGCGCGAAGGCGUGGGGAGCGAUCCGG